rnacentral:misc_RNA from 1 species
GAUGAAGAACGCAGCGAAAUGCGAUAAGUAAUGUGAAUUGCAGAAUUCAGUGAAUCAUCGAAUCUUUGAACGCACAUUGCGCCCGCUGGUAUUCCGGCGGGCAUGCCUGUUCGAGCGUCAUUUCAACCCUCAAGCUCUCCGGAGUUUGGUGUUGGGGCGCCUGGGGCUUUUCGACCUCAGGGCCCUCAAGUCCAUCGGCGGGACCGCCAGGACACUGAGCGCAGUAGUAUUAUUUCGCUCGGUAGGAUCUUCCACGGCGGGUCGAUCUGGCCGCUAAACCCCCCAAUUCUCACCAAAGGUUGACCUCGGAUCAGGUAGGAAUACCCGCUGAACUUAAGCAUAUCUAAGCGGAGGA